GCUGGCGGCACGCCUAACACAUGCAAGUCGAACGAAGUAGCAAUACUUAGUGGCAGACGGGUGAGUAAUAUGUGGGUAUCUACCUUUCGGUCUGGAAUAACAUGGGGAAACUUAUGCUAAUACCGGAUAAGCCUUUACAGGGAAAGCUUUAUGCUCCGAUAGAUGAGUCCACACUUGAUUAGUUAGUUGGUGAGGUAAUAGCUCACCAAGACAAUGAUCAAUAGCUGAUUUGAGAGGAUGAUCAGCCACAUUGGGACUGAGACACGGCCCAAACUCCUACGGGAGGCAGCAGUGGGGAAUCUUGCACAAUGGGGGAAACCCUGAUGCAGCGAUGCCGCGUGAGUGAAGAAGGCCUUUGGGUUGUAAAACUCUUUCGUCGAGGAAGAAAAUGACUGUACUCGAAUAAGAAGGUCCGGCUAACUUCGUGCCAGCAGCCGCGGUAAUACGAAGGGACCUAGCGUAGUUCGGAAUUACUGGGCUUAAAGAGCACGUAGGUGGUUAAAAAAGUUGGUGGUGAAAUCCCAGAGCUUAACUCUGGAACUGCCAUCAAAACUUUUUAGCUAGAGUGUGAUAGAGGAAAGUAGAAUUUCUAGUGUAGAGGUGAAAUUCGUAGAUAUUAGAAAGAAUACCAAUUGCGAAGGCAGCUUUCUAGAUCAUUACUGACACUGAGGUGCGAAAGCAUGGGUAGCGAAGAGGAUUAGAUACCCUCGUAGUCCAUGCCGUAAACGAUGUGUGCUAGACGUUGGAAAUUUAUUUUCAGUGUCGCAGCAAAAGCAUUAAGCACACCGCCUGGGGAGUACGACCGCAAGGUUAAAACUCAAAUGAAAUGACGGA
rnacentral:rRNA from 1 species